UGUAGUCUUUUACGUUUCCGUGUGUAUGCUCUCCUCUCUCUUGCUCUGAAUUGUGAUUUUCUCUCCAAUGUUUAUAUUUGAUUUCACUGAAGAUUUGGUAAGGUAUGAAACCAUCCAAGUUCUGAUUCUCAUCUUAAAUCAAGUGUUAUAAUUUAGUUUCAAGGUAGUGUAUCACCUCACCUGUUUGAAUGAACUCUAUUUUGAGACAUGCAAUGCCACUUGAUUUGAUCUUAUUCUUCUUGUUAAAUCCAAGUACUUGUAUUUCCAUUAAAUGGGUAUUUAAAAUCUCCCUUCAACUGUGAUACUUAUGAUUAUUUUUGUGAAAUUAAACAAGUCCUCCAUAUAGUUAAUUUAACCCCACCAAAACUGAAAUUUAAGCGUUUCUGCCCUGUGUUACUGAGACUUUUCGAGACAUAUGUAUACCAUAUUACUAUUGCUUAUCAUUUUUACAUCAAAGAGGAUUCUCUCAGCUUGUCAACCAGACCAAACUUGCCCAGUUCCGUUUUUUAAUGAAUUUUGGGCGAAUUUGCUAUUGUACACUAUCAAAAACUGGUGUUUUCUGAAAACCUGAUUUCUUCCCUGUUUGGUAUGGACUUUUCGGCAUAUCUAUCAAACUCGUAUUUGUUGCUUAUCAUUUUUAUGUUGACGAGGGUUUCAUCAGCUUUCUAAAGAGCCCAAGUUUGCUGAGUUUCAUCACGUAAUGAUUUUUCUAUGAAUUUCUGAUCUAAGACUCUUGAAGAACUGAAUUUUUCUGAAACAUAUCCCUGCAUAUCUAUGAACUAUAUUUCUUUGUGCUAUCAUUUUUACGUUAAAGAGGAGUUUCUUAGCUUUCCAACAAGACCAAAUUCGCUGAAUUCCAUCGACCAAUGAUUUUUGUAUGAUUUUUCGAGUAAAGACCGUCAAAUCUGAAAACUUCUGGAAACGUAUUCGAGUCCUAGUUUCUUUGUGAAAUUUUAACUCCACAAUCUACCUUGUUAUUUUAACUUACAAUUUUAUGUACAAGAUGGCUUUCUCUAGUUUCCAGCAAGACAAGAUUUUCCGAAUUCCGCUGCCUAAUGAAAUUUCCACGAAUUUUGAAUCAAAGACACCCAAAACUGAGAUAUACAUGAUUACUUGUUCCAGACUAUAUGUCUCACCACUCCCUUGUUGUUUUAUCAUGUUUGAAAGGUCAUUUGAUUUGCUAUAUGAUGGUCUGCAUUUGGCGAGAUUCGCAUGGAAUGGUUUAUGUGUUUAGGAGUUAAAUUUAUUUGGAAGUAGUAAACUACAAGAAUCUUGCGGCAGCGAAGUUAGGGACACAAAGCUGGUAUUUACUUUGUUGUAUGUCAUGGUAUAAUAACAAGUGGGUAUUGGAAGAGUUUUGGUAUAGUGUCCAGUUUGUUAGAAUUUCCAUUGUUUAGCAUUCAGGAUUCUUCAUAAACGGAUGAAUAUUAGUUUACAAAACUUGUAUCUCAUAAAUGAAAGUGCUAUUUAGUUAUUGCAGUUGAAUUAUGUCUUGUUUGUCUCAUAUAAUCUUCUUAUUAUGGUUCAUGUUUCAUUCUUCCUUUCGUUGAAAUUAGUCAUGAAUUAAGUUUUUUUUGGCAACUCCCUGCUAUUGACAAAUAUUUUAAAUCUUUUACGAUAUCUUACAAAGUGGUGAUCCCCAUUUACUAAUGGUGGUUGCUUAAUUUUCAGAAAUGAAUGUAUUUCAUGCUUUAACAUCUUCUUUUGUAUUUUUAUUUUAACUUCCAAGUGACGUACUUGGCGUUUGCUCUUCUAAUCGUUUUCAACCCGUGAGAAGGGAAAUUCUCUGGUCCGUUAUAUUAUCACUUCGUAAUUAGAGCAUCUCCAACGGGAGGUUGUGAUGUUCCUACUUUAACGGAAUAUGUUACUUUUCUUAAAAUACCAUCUCCAACAGGAAUUUAAAGAGAGGAUGUGAAGCCUAUGGGGCAGGCGGUGAACUUAAAGAGAGGAUGUGAAGCCUAUGGGGCAGGCGGUUGCAUUUACAUCCGCUAACCAUCCUCUGAUUUUAGAGGAUCUCUUAGAGGAUUUAAACAACCCAAAAUGUAUUCAAUGUAUUCAGUUACCUAAUAUUUAGAAAAAAUAGUAUUUGGUGCCUAUCAAUAUAUGACAAGUGGAAUAUUUGUUGAGACUA